ACAAUUACGGAUAAUUUA
rnacentral:miRNA from 1 species